AUGCAUGUUAACAUUAGAAGCCUCCUCCCUAAGUUUGUUCUAUUCACUGCUUUAGCACACUCUGCCAACCCGGAUGUUCUAGCUGUGUCUGAAUCCUGGCUUAGGAAGACCACCAAAAAUUCUGAAAUUUUAAUCCCAAACUACAACCUUUUCAGACAAGAUAGAACUGCCAAAGGUGGCGGUGUUGCAAUCUACUGCAAAGAUAGCCUGCAGAGUUCUGUCCUACUAUCCAGGUCUGUACCCAAACAAUUUGAACUUCUACUUUUAAAAAUCCACCUCUCUAAAAACAAGUCUCUCACCGUUACCGCCUGCUAUAGACCACCCUCUGCCCCCAGCUGUGCUCUGGACACCAUAUGUAAACUGAUUGCCCCCCAUCUAUCUUCAGAGCUCGUGCUGCUAGGCGACCUAAACUGGAACAUGCUUAACACCCCAGCCAUCCUACAAUCUAAACUUGAUGCCCUCAAUCUCACACAAAUUAUCAAUGAACCUACCAGGUACCUCCCCAAAGCCUUAAACACGGGCACCCACAUAGAUAUCAUCCUAACCAACUUGCCCUCUAAAUACACCUCUGCUGUCUUCAACCAAGAUCUCAGCGAUCACUGCCUCAUUGCCUGCAUCCGUAAUCGGUCAGCGGUCAAACGACCUCCACUCAUCACUGUCAAACGCUCCCUGAAACACUUCAGCGAGCAGGCCUUUCUAAUCGACCUGGCCGGGGUAUCCUGGAAGGAUAUUGAUCUCAUCCCGUCAGUAGAGGAUGCCUGGAUAUUUUUUUUAAAUGCCUUCCUAACCAUCUUAAAUAAACAUGCCCCAUUCAAGAAAUUUAGAACCAGGAACAGAUAUAGCCCUUGGUUCUCUCCAGACCUGACUGCCCUUAACCAACACAAAAACAUCCUAUGGCGUUCUGCAUUAGCAUCGAACAGCCCCCGUGAUAUGCAGCUGUUCAGGGAUGCUAGAAACCAUUAUACACAGGCAGUUAGAAAAGCCAAGGCUAGCUUUUUCAAGCAGAAAUUUGCUUCCUGCAACACUAACUCAAAAAAGUUCUGGGACACUGUAAAGUCCAUGGAGAAUAAGAACACCUCCUCCCAGCUGCGCACUGCACUGAAGAUUGGAAACACUGUCACCACUGAUAAAUCCACCAUAAUUGAGAAUUUCAAUAAGCAUUUUUCUACGGCUGGCCAUGCUUUCCACCUGGCUACUCCUACCCCGGUCAACAGCACUCCACCCCCCACAGCAACUCGCCCAAGCCUUCCCCAUUUCUCCUUCUCCCAAAUCCGUUCAGCUGAUGUUCUGAAAGAGCUGCAAAAUCUGGACCCCUACAAAUCAGCCGGGCUAGAAGGGUCAGCCGGACCCUUUCUUUCUAAAAUUAUCUGCCGAAAUUGUUGCCACCCCUAUUACUAG
rnacentral:lncRNA from 13 species